CUCUAGAGGCUUGCGUCCCGGGAGCCCGGCCUCGUGCGCCGCGCUUUGAGCAGCAGACUGCUCGACAAACACUGCGCCAAGAGCUCCUCAGCAGAAGCUCCUCGCAUCAGAUCCUCUGUGCUGGGAAUCCUCCCCUCUUGAGCACACUCUGUGCUCCUCUUCCAGUUACGGUGCAUGUGAAGCAAUGGUAUGGGAAAAUUGUUUGCAGAAGGAUGAAAAGGCUUUAUUGCCAAACUGAACACAGGACUCACCGCUGUAGAUACUUGCAGAAGCACUGAAGCUCCUGGAGGGUCUCCUUUGCAGUCUGGAAGAUUUCCUCCACGAGAAACAAGUCCACUAAGUGGGCACAGACAUCCUCACAGCAACGGGCCACACGGACCCUCUGGUCUGUCUCUACUGCAUUCCUAGAAACAGGGCAAUCAGCAUGGAAGACACUGCACUUGGGGCCCACAGACACUGAGGGCUUGCUUGAAAAGUGCAAGAGUCAGUCAGGCGCGGUGGCUCACGCCUGUAAUCCCAGCACUUUGGAAGGCCGAAGCGGGUGGAUCAUGAGGUCAAGAGAUCCAGACCAUCCUGGCUAACAUGGUGAAACCCUGUCUCUACUAAAAAUACAAAAAAAUUAGCCUGGUGUGGUGGCGGGCGCCUGUAGUCCCAGCUACUCGGGAGGCUGAAGCAGGAGAAUGACGUGAAGCCGGGAGGCAGA
rnacentral:lncRNA from 10 species